rnacentral:rRNA from 1 species
GGACCCGCACAAGUAGUGGAGCAUGUGGUUUAAUUCGAAGAUACGCGCAGAACCUUACCAACACUUGACAUGUUCGUCGCGACUUUAAGAGAUUAAAGUUUUCGGUUCGGCCGGACGAAACACAGGUGCUGCAUGGCUGUCGUCAGCUCGUGUCGUGAGAUGUUGGGUUAAGUCCCGCAACGAGCGCAACCCUCACUUUUAGUUGCCAUCAUUAAGUUGGGCACUCUGAAAGAACUGCCAGUGAUAAGCUGGAGGAAGGUGGGGAUGACGUCAAGUCCUCAUGGCCCUUACGUGUUGGGCUACACACGUGCUACAAUGGUAUCUACAACAGGAAGCAAGACUGCGAAGUUAAGCAAAUCCUUAAAAGAUACCUCAGUUCGGAUUGCACUCUGCAACUCGAGUGCAUGAAGCUGGAAUUACUAGUAAUCGU